CCUUACUAAGUAGAUGCUAUGAUUAUCUUUAUUUUAAAGAUGUGAAAACUGAAACUUUGGAAGGAAGUUCUGAAACACUAUUGUGGGGCAUAGAGUAUCAAGUUUAGUAAGGAAAAGAAAAAUGAUUAUAAGAGAGAAUCGAGGGUCCAACUGAAGAUGGAUGGCAUGAGUUUAAGACAAAACUCUCAGCACAAUUCCAUGUUUACCUCAGCCAUGUUCUGCAACUUGGAGCAGUUGGUUGAGCUGACUGAGACUUCGAAUACAAUGGUUAGGAAAACAGUAACCUCUUUGCGUUCCACGUUGGACUUAAUGACUAUGAGUCAUGUCAUAUAUAGGAGGCAAGUUUUUCAGUGGAGAUAGGAACAACUGAAAUAUGUUCUUCAGCCUAGUGGAGACAAGUAAUUGUCAUUGGCUGGUGAGUGUUUCAGAUACUUCAAAGCAUGGGUUGUGCUUCACCCCACCCUCUCUAGCUAAACUCCUUGGCUAAUGGCCUGCAUGAUCUUAACUUCAUUCCGGAAAUACUGGUUAAGAGGAUUUGGGACAGGCCAUUUGGAGGCUGGUGAACCUGACAACUUACACAACCUACAUUUGCAAAGCCCAGUUAUUUUCUGACUAAUGGGUCAGAAAGAGGGGGCAGAAGAGGAGAGAGAAAUCUUCACCAAACAAACAGCCAGGCCAUCUGGGUGGAGUUGCUUAAGGCAGUCACAAAAAAAUGAUCACAUCAUUUACCUCUCAUUUAACAAGGGCAGAGCAGGGAUACUAGCUGUGAGACACUUCUGCUCCGGGAAAGAUAAGCAGUUUAUUUGAAAAAAAAAAAAAAAAAAAAAAAAAAAAAAGAACUUCCUGACUGCUGAAAUACAGACCGUUCCUGAUUGUGGUUAUGGAGGAGGUGUCUUCAAAAGCAUCAAGGAAAAAAUAUCAAAUAAUUGUAUUUGUUUGACUGAAGACUUAUCUGGAUACAGGAGGGCAAGAAUCUUCUGUUCCAUAUGCAACAUCUUCUGGCAGCCUUGUCCUUUUUCUGUCCUUGACGACUACAAUAACAAACAGCUGUUGCCGAGGCAUUGCUGUUGACGUGUUACCUUUGAAACCUCCCUCCUGUUAUGGAAUAAGCCUCUUCCAGAUCAUGGCUCAUUAUCAUCUAGUCUGACAAGCAGCCUUGUUGCCACGGAGACCCAAAGGGAUCAGGCGUGGCAUUUGCCUGCAUCAUCACCCCCUCCAGGGGAACUAUAAGGACUCUUCUGUGCGUCAUGCGUGGCUGUCCUGGGACUGGCUGCCACCAGACUUUUCCUGCGGGUAAAACCUAAACAAAUGAUCAGCUGCAGAUAAUAUCAAGACCUCUGUUUGAUAUGUUAAUAGUGACAGCCAGAUUUCCACAAUUAACAACGAGGUGGGAAGAAAACACUGUAGUCACCAGACUUGGGAGGAGAGGGUUUGUAUUCACAUAAACACAACCUCACGUCACUGCUUGCCACCACAAAGGGCUCUGUUCACUGUUUUGUUCUCAAAGAUCAUCCUUGCGCUCAUCCUCUGAUCUUGAAUUUCUACAUAACUUUCUCAGUUUAUAUGCCCUGUGGCAAGUGCAGCAAGCACUGUUUCCUGUUUCUAAACUUGUAGAAAAUCAUCCAUACAUCUUACAGUUGUCAGUUUUAACCAGAUAACAGUGGCACUUUGUUGCUGCUUUUUUAUCUUUAGCUUAGGUUAACAGGACCCUGGAAGUAAAGUUGUUGAUUUAUUCAAUAGAGUAUUCUCAAUUAAUUUGGCUAGAUUUCUACAUGAUUCAAAAUCUAAAAAAGUAGAAAUGCAUGCUUACAUGUCUAAGGCCUGAAAAAUUGGUAGUGACAUCCCAAAAUAAAUGAAGGUUUUAAAACAAUAA
rnacentral:lncRNA from 1 species